rnacentral:rRNA from 1 species
GAUGAACGCUGGCGGCGUGCCUAAUACAUGCAAGUCGAGCGAACAGAUGAGGAGCUUGCUCCUCUGACGUUAGCGGCGGACGGGUGAGUAACACGUGGAUAACCUACCUAUAAGACUGGGAUAACUUCGGGAAACCGGAGCUAAUACCGGAUAAUAUAUUGAACCGCAUGGUUCAAUAGUGAAAGACGGUUUUGCUGUCACUUAUAGAUGGAUCCGCGCCGCAUUAGCUAGUUGGUAAGGUAACGGCUUACCAAGGCAACGAUGCGUAGCCGACCUGAGAGGGUGAUAGGCCACACUGGAACUGAGACACGGUCCAGACUCCUACGGGAGGCAGCAGUAGGGAAUCUUCCGCAAUGGGCGAAAGCCUGACGGAGCAACGCCGCGUGAGUGAUGAAGGUCUUCGGAUCGUAAAACUCUGUUAUUAGGGAAGAACAAAUGUGUAAGUAACUAUGCACGUCUUGACGGUACCGAAUCAGAAAGCCACGGCUAACUACGUG